AUAUAACUAUAAAAUAAAUAUUGCGACCCACGAACAUAUUUUGUUUAUUCUAAGCGCACACUCGUCUGCCGCUUUAAGUUCUCGAGCGCGUUACAGCAGGAUGGAUUCUGAUUGGCUGUCAAUUUUUUAUCGUUCAUCAGCUGGAGAAAAUCGUUUUGAAAGUGAUUCCAACGAUUUUCUUUGUCUUUAUCGUUAUAGUUGUGGUGUGGACGCUGCUGUUCUUUAAUACUGAAAACGAUUUUUAGAACUAUAUCUUUAUCGUUAUCUUUAUAGUUAUCGUCCUUGGUGUGAACGGGCCUUUAUGGGACAAAAACAAUGUUGAGUGUCUGGUUUAAAGUAAUUAAAGUAAUACAAUUAAGAUUAUCGCCGUGCUCGUAUCACACAGAACUCUUUCAUUAAGACGUGCCGAUCUAUACUAUAUAAUUCAUUAUGAUUUCUAACGAUUACAUCAAGUGUCACUUAAAAUCACAAAUCAUUCGAAUCAGUUCGCCGGUUUUUCAACCCCUGCAGUCCAGCCCAUGUCCAGAUCCGCGAACAGCACCUCUCGCCUUCAUUUCGUCCUGAGGCGAACUUCCCAUCUCACGGGAGAUUAGAUGCACUUUACACGAGCAGUCGAGAAAAAUGGCUUGUACCGUUGGCGGUCAGAUCAUACUGCAGUUAAACGUGGAGGAGGCAACGGAGGACAGCAGCCCGUCCCGGAGCAUCUCCAGCCGGCGGAGCAGAACCUCAUUCUCCCCGUUCAGCGCGAGGAAACAUCAGAGAUUGCCAGGAACUCAAGGACAGCAUGCUUAAUGCGUGACGUUAUAUCUGCUGCUGUAGAAGACAUUUCCUUGGCUUCUCUCCAGAGAAUCCCAAGGCUGAUGCAUCAUGACAAGCCAUUCUAAAGGAUGGAACUUGACUUGUACAGAUACAUCUCAGGCACUUGACCCAUGCAUCUUGGUCUUGAUCUGUGAGCAUGUUGAUAUAGUAUGAGCUGUGUCCAGUAUGUUGUGUUUCUUAUGGAAGUGAUGUUUCCCGCUGAGAAUAAAAAGGUAUUUGCAAUUUUUUCUCAUAACUUUUGUGCUGUGCUGAAAAUCUUUUACCUAGUUUGGCGUUCCUGGUCAAAAAUGACCAGCCUUUUAAAAAACUGCUAGUAAAUCUAUUAUGAUGUUGUAUUUAUCACUAAAAAUUGGAUUUAGUCUUUUUGUCACCUUAGCACAGGCUUUGUAUUUCUUUUUGGAACUGAUUCAUCAUAGGCUUAUUCACCAGUGUUUUGAAAGAAAUUGAAAGAAAACAAGUUGAUAAAAAGAUUGAAACCAAAAUUUGGUAGUAAUAUAACAUAACAAGAAAUUGAUAAGCAAUUUUUUG
rnacentral:lncRNA from 12 species